rnacentral:siRNA from 1 species
AGCCACUUACUUGUACUGGUCCGU